rnacentral:rRNA from 1 species
UAUUGGGUUUAAAGGGUCCGUAGCCGGCUUAUUAAGUCUCUUGGGAAAUCUGGCGACUUAAUCGUCAGGCGUCCAAGAGAUACUGAUAGGCUUGGGACCGGGAGAGGUGGGAGGUACUCCAGGGGUAGGGGUGAAAUCUCGUAAUCCUUGGGGGACCACCGAUGGCGAAGGCAUCCCACCAGAACGGGUCCGACGGUGAGGGACGAAAGCUGGGGGCACGAACCGGAUUAGAUACCCGGGUAGUCCCAGCUGUAAACGAUGCUCGCUAGGUGUCAGAUGCGGUGCGACCGCAUCUGGUGCCGCAGUGAAAACUUGAAGCGAGUCACCUGGGAAGUACGGUCGCAAGGCUGAAACUUAAAGGAAUUGGCGGGGGAGCACUACAACGGGUGGAGCCUGCGGUUCAAUUGGAUUCAACGCCGGAAAGCUUACCGGGUCAGACAGCAAUAUGAAGGUCAAGCUAAAGACUUUACCGAAUUCGCUGAGAGGAGGUGCAUGGCCGUCGUCAGUUCGUAUCGUGAGACAUCCUGUUAAGUCAGGCAACGAGCAAGACCCGUGCCCACAGUUGCCAGCGUACCCUCCGGGGUGAUGGGCACACUGUGGGGACCGCCGCUGCUAAAGCGGAGGAAGGGGCGGGCUACGGUAGGUCAGUAUGCCCCGAAUCAUCCGGGCUACACGCGGGCUACAAUGGUUGGGACAAUGGGCACCUACACCGAGAGGUGAUGGUAAUCUCCUAAACCCAGCCUUAGUUCGGAUUGAGGGCUGCAACUCGCCCUCAUGAAGCCGGAAUCCGUAGUAAUCG